rnacentral:rRNA from 1 species
UACGGAGGGGGCAAGCGUUGUCCGGACUUACUGGGCGUAAAGGGCGCGUAGGCGGGAUGGUAAGUCGGUCGUGAAAUCCCUCGGCUCAACCGAGGAACGUCGAUCGAUACUACCGUUCUUGAGGAUUGCAGAGGAGACUGGAAUUCCCGGUGUAGCGGUGAAAUGUGUAGAGAUCGGGAGGAACACCGGUGGCGAAGGCGGGUCUCUGGGCAAUUCCUGACGCUGAGGCGCGAAAGCGUGGGGAGCAAACGGG